rnacentral:rRNA from 1 species
ACGCUGGCGGCAGGCCUAACACAUGCAAGUCGAGCGGUAGAGAGAAGCUUGCUUCUCUUGAGAGCGGCGGACGGGUGAGUAAUGCCUAGGAAUCUGCCUGGUAGUGGGGGAUAACGUCCGGAAACGGACGCUAAUACCGCAUACGUCCUACGGGAGAAAGCAGGGGACCUUCGGGCCUUGCGCUAUCAGAUGAGCCUAGGUCGGAUUAGCUAGUUGGUGGGGUAAUGGCUCACCAAGGCGACGAUCCGUAACUGGUCUGAGAGGAUGAUCAGUCACACUGGAACUGAGACACGGUCCAGACUCCUACGGGAGGCAGCAGUGGGGAAUAUUGGACAAUGGGCGAAAGCCUGAUCCAGCCAUGCCGCGUGUGUGAAGAAGGUCUUCGGAUUGUAAAGCACUUUAAGUUGGGAGGAAGGGCAGUUACCUAAUACGUGAUUGUUUUGACGUUACCGACAGAAUAAGCACCGGCUGACUCUGUGCCAGCAGCCGCGGUAAUACAGAGGGUGCAAGCGUUAAUCGGAAUUACUGGGCGUAAAGCGCGCGUAGGUGGUUCGUUAAGUUGGACGUGAAAUCCCCGGGCUCAACCUGGGAACUGCAUUCAAAACUGACGAGCUAGAGUAUGGUAGAGGGUGGUGGAAUUUCCUGUGUAGCGGUGAAAUGCGUAGAUAUAGGAAGGAACACCAGUGGCGAAGGCGACCACCUGGACUGAUACUGACACUGAGGUGCGAAAGCGUGGGGAGCAAAC